GUGAAAGGCUAAUCAAGCUCGGAGAUAGCUGGUUCUCCUCGAAAGCUAUUUAGGUAGCGCCUCAUGUAUCACUGUAGGGGGUAGAGCACUGUUUCGGCUAGGGGGUCAUCCCGACUUACCAAACCGAUGCAAACUCCGAAUACCUACAAGUGCCGAGCAUGGGAGACACACGGCGGGUGCUAACGUCCGUCGUGAAAAGGGAAACAACCCAGACCGUCAGCUAAGGUCCCAAAGUUAUGGUUAAGUGGGAAACGAUGUGGGAAGGCUUAGACAGCUAGGAGGUUGGCUUAGAAGCAGCCACCCUUUAAAGAAAGCGUAAUAGCUCACUAGUCGAGUCGGCCUGCGCGGAAGAUGUAACGGGGCUCAAACCAUACACCGAAGCUACGGGUAUCACCUUCGGGUGAUGCGGUAGAGGAGCGUUCUGUAAGCCUGUGAAGGUGAGUUGAGAAGCUUGCUGGAGGUAUCAGAAGUGCGAAUGCUGACAUGAGUAACGACAAUGGGUGUGAAAAACACCCACGCCGAAAGACCAAGGUUUCCUGCGCAACGUUAAUCGACGCAGGGUUAGUCGGUCCCUAAGGCGAGGCUGAAAAGCGUAGUCGAUGGAAAACAGGUUAAUAUUCCUGUACUUCUGGUUAUUGCGAUGGAGGGACGGAGAAGGCUAGGCCAGCUUGGCGUUGGUUGUCCAAGUUUAAGGUGGUAGGCUGAGAUCUUAGGUAAAUCCGGGAUCUUAAGGCCGAGAGCUGAUGACGAGUUACCCUUUGGGUGACGAAGUGGUUGAUGCCAUGCUUCCAAGAAAAGCUUCUAAGCUUCAGGUAACCAGGAACCGUACCCCAAACCGACACAGGUGGUUGGGUAGAGAAUACCAAGGCGCUUGAGAGAACUCGGGUGAAGGAACUAGGCAAAAUGGCACCGUAACUUCGGGAGAAGGUGCGCCGGUGAGGGUGAAGGACUUGCUCCGUAAGCUCAUGCCGGUCGAAGAUACCAGGCCGCUGCGACUGUUUAUUAAAAACACAGCACUCUGCAAACACGAAAGUGGACGUAUAGGGUGUGACGCCUGCCCGGUGCCGGAAGGUUAAUUGAUGGGGUUAGCUAACGCGAAGCUCUUGAUCGAAGCCCCGGUAAACGGCGGCCGUAACUAUAACGGUCCUAAGGUAGCGAAAUUCCUUGUCGGGUAAGUUCCGACCUGCACGAAUGGCGUAACGAUGGCGGCGCUGUCUCCACCCGAGACUCAGUGAAAUUGAAAUCGCUGUGAAGAUGCAGUGUAUCCGCGGCUAGACGGAAAGACCCCGUGAACCUUUACUAUAGCUUUGCACUGGACUUUGAAUUUGCUUGUGUAGGAUAGGUGGGAGGCUUUGAAGCGUGGACGCCAGUUCGCGUGGAGCCAUCCUUGAAAUACCACCCUGGCAACUUUGAGGUUCUAACUCAGGUCCGUUAUCCGGAUCGAGGACAGUGUAUGGUGGGUAGUUUGACUGGGGCGGUCUCCUCCUAAAGAGUAACGGAGGAGUACGAAGGUGCGCUCAGACCGGUCGGAAAUCGGUCGUAGAGUAUAAAGGCAAAAGCGCGCUUGACUGCGAGACAGACACGUCGAGCAGGUACGAAAGUAGGUCUUAGUGAUCCGGUGGUUCUGUAUGGAAGGGCCAUCGCUCAACGGAUAAAAGGUACUCCGGGGAUAACAGGCUGAUACCGCCCAAGAGUUCAUAUCGACGGCGGUGUUUGGCACCUCGAUGUCGGCUCAUCACAUCCUGGGGCUGAAGCCGGUCCCAAGGGUAUGGCUGUUCGCCAUUUAAAGUGGUACGCGAGCUGGGUUUAGAACGUCGUGAGACAGUUCGGUCCCUAUCUGCCGUGGACGUUUGAGAUUUGAGAGGGGCUGCUCCUAGUACGAGAGGACCGGAGUGGACGAACCUCUGGUGUUCCGGUUGUCACGCCAGUGGCAUUGCCGGGUAGCUAUGUUCGGGAAAGAUAACCGCUGAAAGCAUCUAAGCGGGAAACUUGCCUCAAGAUGAGAUCUCACUGGAACCUUGAGUUCCCUGAAGGGCCGUCGAAGACUACGACGUUGAUAGGUUGGGUGUGUAAGCGCUGUGAGGCGUUGAGCUAACCAAUACUAAUUGCCCGUGAGGCUUGACCAUAUAACACCCAAGCAAUU
rnacentral:rRNA from 1 species